rnacentral:rRNA from 1 species
AUGGCGAUCGCGACACCUCGCAGCUCCCUCAUCAUCUUCUUCGUCCUCCUCGUCUCGGCCGCUUCCUUCGUGGUCGAUGGUGGCAGCAUCGUCAAGGAGGCCUGCGCCAAGACGCCGCAGCCGAGCGACUGCGAGGAGCUCCUCAAGUCCAGCACCGCGACGGACGCGAAAACGCUGGCCCAGGCCGCCGUCGCCGCCGCCGCGAAGACGGCCACCGAGGCUGCUACCGCGGCCAAAGCGGAGCGGGACAAACUCCCCAACGGCAAGACGCAGUGGCGGUGCAUGGACAGCUGCGCGGCGGGGUUCGAUGAGGCGGCGACAAAGUUUAAGCCAGCCGCUGGCGGGAACGCCGCCGGAGCCGACGCCCAGCUCACGGCGGUGCUGGACUUCGUGGUGGUGGAUGAAGAUGUGGAGAAGUCCAAGGACUGGGAGUGGAAGUGGAGCUGCAACGAGUGCAAGGCCGACCCCACCGCGCCGGCAGGACUGGUCGCCAAGAACAAGGAGUUCGACAAGAUCAUGGAUAUCAUACCUGCCAUCAUCAAGCAGGCAGUCGCCGGCACGGACAAUUCCACCAAACCGGCCGCCAAAUCCUAG